rnacentral:tRNA from 1 species
UCUCGCAUAGCUCAACGGCAGAGCGUCGGAUUGUUAAUCCGGAUGUUCCUGGUUCGAAUCCAGGUGCGAGAGC